rnacentral:rRNA from 1 species
AUUGAACGCUGGCGGCAGGCCUAACACAUGCAAGUCGAGCGAGCGGCGGACGGGUGAGUAAUGUCUGGGAAACUGCCUGAUGGAGGGGGAUAACUACUGGAAACGGUAGCUAAUACCGCAUACCAUCAGAUGUGCCCAGAUGGGAUUAGCUAGUAGGUGGGGUAACGGCUCACCUAGGCGACGAUCCCUAGCUGGUCUGAGAGGAUGACCGGCAAUACUGGAACGUGGACACGGUCCAGAGUCAGACGGGAGGCAGCAGUGGGGAAUAUUGCACAAUGGGCGCAAGCCGGAGGCAGCCAUGCCGCGGGUGUGAAGAAGGCCUUCGGGUUGUAAAGAACUUUCAGCGGGGAGGCGUUACCCGCAGAAGAAGCACCGGCUAACUCCGUGCCAGCAGCCGCGGUAAUUC